ACUGCUCAGUAACACGUAGCUAACCUACCCUUAAGUCGAGGAUACUCUCGGGAAACUGAGGUUAAUACUCGAUAGGAGAUGUACCCUGGAAUGAUUCAUCUCUUAAACUUGUGCUUAAGGAUGGGGCUGCGGCGGAUUAGGUUGUUGGCGGGGUAAAGGCCCACCAAGCCGAUGAUCCGUAAGGGCUCUUAGCGGAGAGGCCCUGAGAGGGAAUCUGAGACACUAUUCCCAGCCCUACGGGGUGCAGCAGUUAGGAAUCUUCUGCAAUGCGCGCAAGCGUGACAGAUUGAGUCAGAGUGCUUUUCAUAUGAAAAGCUUUUGCCAAAUGCAAAAAGUUUGGCGAAUAAGGACUGGGUAAGACGGGUGCCAGCCGCCGCGGUAAUACCCGCGGUCCAAGUCGCAGCCAUCAUUAUUGGGUCUAAAACAUCCGUAGCUUGCUUAAUAAGUUUCUUGUGAAAUUCCAUGUCUUAAAUAUGGAGCGGGCAAGAAGUACUGUUGAGCUAGAGACUGGAAGACGUAAGAAGUACGUUUGGAGUAGCGGUAAAAUGUGUUAAUCCCAGACAGACUAACAACAGCGAAGGCAUCUUACGAGGACAGUUCUGACAGUAAGGGAUGAAGGCUAGGGGCGCGAAAGGGAUUAGAUACCCCUGUAGUCCUAGCAGUAAACACUGCACACUAAACAUUAGUACCUCCUCGAGAGGUGUUAGUGCUGAAGAGAAGUCGAAGAGUGUGCUACCUGGGAAGUAUAGUCGCAAGGCUGAAACUUAAAGGAAUUGGCGGGGGAGCA
rnacentral:rRNA from 1 species